rnacentral:rRNA from 1 species
UACGUAGGGGGCAAGCGUUGUCCGGAUUUAUUGGGCGUAAAGAGCGUGUAGGCGGCCAGGUAGGUGGGUUGUGAAAACUGGAGGCUCAACCUCGAGACGCCGAUGGAAACCAUCUGACUAGAGUCCGGAAGAGGAGAGUGGAAUUCCUGGUGUAGCGGUGAAAUGCGCAGAUAUCAGGAAGAACACCCGUGGCUAAGGCGGCUCUCUAGUACGGUACUGACGCUGAGACGCGAAAGCGUGGGGGAGCGAACAGG